GCAGCCGCGGUAAUACGUAGGGGGCAAGCGUUAUCCGGAUUUACUGGGUGUAAAGGGAGCGUAGACGGUUUGGCAAGUCUGAAGUGAAAGCCCGGGGCUCAACCCCGGGACUGCUUUGGAAACUGUCAAACUAGAGUGCAGGAGAGGUAAGCGGAAUUCCUAGUGUAGCGGUGAAAUGCGUAGAUAUUAGGAGGAACACCAGUGGCGAAGGCGGCUUACUGGACUGUAACUGACGUUGAGGCUCGAAAGCGUGGGGAGCAAACAGGAUUAGAUACCCC
rnacentral:rRNA from 1 species